CAGCCGCCGCGGGAAUACGUAGGGGGCAAGCGUUAUCCGGAAUUACUGGGUGUAAAGGGAGCGUAGACGGUUAAAUAAGUCUGAUGUGAAAGCCCACGGCUCAACCGUGGAGGGUCAUUGGAAACUGUUAAACUUGAGUGCAGGAGAGAAGAGUGGAAUUCCUAGUGUAGCGGUGAAAUGCGUUGAGAUCGGAAAGAACACCAACGGCGAAAGCACUCUGCUGGGCCGACACUGACACUGAGAGACGAAAGCUAGGGGAGCAAAUGGGAUUAGAUACCCGCGUAGUCCCUGUCUCUUAUAA
rnacentral:rRNA from 1 species